rnacentral:rRNA from 1 species
UAAGGAAUAUUGGUCAAUGGACGCAAGUCUGAACCAGCCAUGCCGCGUGAAGGAUGAAGGUCCUCUGGAUUGUAAACUUCUUUUAUCUGGGACGAAAACGGGAUUUUUAUCUCAAUUGACGGUACCAGAGGAAUAAGCACCGGCUAACUCCGUGCCAGCAGCCGCGGUAAUACGGAGGGUGUGAGCGUUAUCCGGAUUUACUGGGUUUAAAGGGUGCGUAGGUGGGCUUAUAAGUCAGUGGUGAAAUCUCCGAGCUUAACUUGGAAACUGCCGUUGAUACUAUAGCUCUUGAAUUAUCUGGAGGUAAGCGGAAUAUGUCAUGUAGCGGUGAAAUGCUUAGAUAUGACAUAGAACACCAAUUGCGAAGGCAGCUUACUACAUAUAAAUUGACGCUGAGGCACGAAAGCAUGGGGAUCAAACA